GGCAGAAUAGCUCAGUUGGUUAGAGCAUCAGAACAUAAAUCUGAGGUCCUGGGUUCAAUUCCCAGUCCAACCA